rnacentral:rRNA from 1 species
AUUGAACGCUGGCGGAAUGCUUUACACAUGCAAGUCGAACGGCAGCACGGGGGCAGCCCUGGUGGCGAGUGGCGAACGGGUGAGUAAUACAUCGGAACGUGCCCGGUCGUGGGGGAUAGCGUAGCGAAAGUUACGCUAAUACCGCAUACGAUCUGAGGAUGAAAGCGGGGGACCUUCGGGCCUCGCGCGAUCGGAGCGGCCGAUGUCAGAUUAGGUAGUUGGUGGGGUAAAGGCCUACCAAGCCGACGAUCUGUAGCUGGUCUGAGAGGACGACCAGCCACACUGGGACUGAGACACGGCCCAGACUCCUACGGGAGGCAGCAGUGGGGAAUUUUGGACAAUGGGCGCAAGCCUGAUCCAGCCAUUCCGCGUGCAGGACGAAGGCCUUCGGGUUGUAAACUGCUUUUGUACGGAACGAAAAGGCUCUGGCUAAUACCUGGGGCUCAUGACGGUACCGUAAGAAUAAGCACCGGCUAACUACGUG